CCGGAGCAAACCCGAACUGCCCCCAGGGUUAAACCCUGAGCCCGCCCCUUCCCCACCGGGCCGAGGGACCCCCGGGGGGGGCUGCGACCCCUCCCCAACUUUAUCCAAAAGCGCCCGCAGGAACCUGAAACGCAAAGAGAAAAGGAAACAGCAGCAGGAAAAAGAUCGGGAAAACCACGGGGAGGGACUGGAAAAAAUCGAGCUGGGAGGAGGAGGAGGAGGAGGAGGAGGAGACAGCGACAGUGGAGGAGGAGGGACAGCGGGAGGGGAGAAAAACGUGGAAAACCCCGGGAAUUCGGGCAAGAAUCCGGGGAAAAAUUCCGGCAAGAAUCCGGGGAAGAAUUCGGCGGAUUCGGGGAAGAAUUCAGGGAAUUCCGGCAAGAAUUCAAGCGAGAAUUCAGUGAAAAAUUCAGGGAAUUCUGUGAAGAAUUUAAGCGAAAAUUCGGGGAAGAAUUCAGCGAAUUCCGGCAAGAAUUUAAGCAACAAUUCCGGGAAGAAUUCAAGCGAGAAUUCUGGAAAGAAUUCAGGGAAUUCCGGGAAGAAUUCAAGCGAAAAUUCUGGGAAAAAUUCAGCGAAUUCCGGGAAAAAUUCAAGCGAAAAUUCUGGGAAAAAUUCAGCGAAUUCCGGCAAGAAUUUAAGCGAGAAUUCCGUGAAAAAUUUAAGUGAAAAUUCCGGGAAAAAUUCAGUGAAUUCCGGGAAGAAUUCAGUGAAUUCCGGGAAGAAUUCAAGUGAAAAUUCCGGCAAGAAUUUAAGUGAAAAUUCCGGGAAAAAUUCAGCAAAUUCCGUCAAGAAUCCAAGCGAAAAUUCAAGCAAGAAUUCAUCGAAUUCCAGCCAAAACUCCAUGAAAAAUUCAUCGAAUUCCAUCGAAAAUCCCGGAAUCCAACCAGGGAACAACCCUGUGAGUAACCCCGACAAUUCCGGGGUUCAGUUGGGAAUUAAGGCUGGAAUUGCGGCCGGGAUGGAUGCGGGGAGCGGCGCGGGGAGCUCGGAGCGCGGCCGGCGCAUGAAGAGCCUGCGCAAGAAGCUGCGGCAGGUGGAGGAGCUGCGCCUGCGGCUGGAGCGGGGGGCGCUGCCCGAGCCCAGCCGGGAGCAGCUGGACAAGCUGGCCCGCAGGAGGGCUCUGGAGGAGGAACUCAGACAGCUGGAGCUGGACUCGUAACUUGGCAUGGGCUUUUCGGGCUUUUUAUUUGGAUUUUUCAUUUUUUUUUUUAAAUUUAUUUUUGAUUUUUUUUUCUUUUUUUUUCCCCGUUAUUUUCAUUUUUUUCCCCGUUAUUUUCAUUUUUUUCCCCUUUAUUUUCAUUUUUUUCCCCUUUAUUUUCAUUUUUUUCCCCUUUAUUUUCCUUUUUUCCCCCUUUAUUUUCUUUUUUCCCUUUAUUUUCUUUAUUUUCCUUUUUUUUCCCAUUAUUUUCUUUUUUCCUUUAUUUUUUUCCCCUUUACUUUCUUUUUUUCCCCUUUUAUUUUCUUUUUAUUCCCUUUAUUUUUUUCUUUAUUUUCUUUUUUUCCCUUUAUUUUAU
rnacentral:lncRNA from 1 species